rnacentral:rRNA from 1 species
CCUACGGGUGGCAGCAGUGGGGAAUAUUGGACAAUGGGGGAAACCCUGAUCCAGCGACGCCGCGUGAGUGAAGAAGUAUUUCGGUACGUAAAGCUCUAUCAGCAGGAAAGAAAAUGACGGUACCUGACUAAGAAGCCCCGGCUAACUACGUGCCAGCAGCCGCGGUAAUACGUAGGGGGCAAGCGUUAUCCGGAUUUACUGGGUGUAAAGGGAGCGUAGACGGCAGCGCAAGUCUGGAGUGAAAUGCCGGGGCUCAACCCCGGAACUGCUCUGGAAACUGUGAAGCUGGAGUGCAGGAGAGGUAAGCGGAAUUCCUGGUGUAGCGGUGAAAUGCGUAGAUAGCAGGAGGAACACCGGCGGCGAAGGCGGCUUACUGGACUGUAACUGACGUUGAGGCUCGAAGGCGUGGGGAGCAAACAGGAUUAGAUACCCGAGUAGUC